AUGUAUUUACAUGUCUAACACCUAAGCUUGUUUAAUUUUCACCUAUGUUAUCUUGCAUAUGCAUGAAAUGUUGUAUAUCACUUUUAAAAAUGGUGGCAUCCUUUCUAUGCGACUUGAAUGAUUUAGGUGCUAUGAAUGUAAACGACUAAAGUUUGCGUUUGAUACGUAAAUGCAUAGGAAUUGGGUAGUAUGUAUCUAAAUGUAUCUACUCUAAAUUUAUCACCAUCAUGUGAUAUGUCUUCCUAUUUUUCUUAGUGAACCAUUGCCUUCAAAAUCAAAUACAACAAGGCAGCCACCAACUGAUUAAACCGAACUCUAAUUAAAUUUCAUUAAUUUCAUCAGGCUGAACACUAUUUAAAUUCCAUUGUACUGCUUUUACUUGAGCUUAAACUUCUAACCUCAAUCUUGGUAUGUUGAGUUAGGGCUGAUAUGAAUCCUCAUUAGAUUUGUUAAUUUAAUCCAAUAAAAUUAUUAACCUGAUUUUUCCUCCAGGAUCUUCAUAAAGUUCACUUUGAAUUUCUUUUUGGUUGAGGUCUCGCAUAUCACCGUACAUCUAUUUGGUCAUCCUGUAGUAGGGAGAACAUCAGGUAAACAUUGCACCCAAAUAUUUAUCAAAUAAAAACAACACUAUUUAGUGAAAUGCACCUUAUCAUGCAUAAUUGAAGUGACAUAUAUGUACAAAUUGAAGUUUGGAUGUUAAAUAUGUAAAUACAAGGGAAUUGAGUAGUAUGUAUGCAAAUCUCCCUACUCUUAUAUAUACAUACUUUGUGGAAAUGUUAAGAUUUGAUUGACAUCAUUCAAAAUGAAGUACUUUUAUACGGAUCAUCGAGCUGGCUUAUAAGGUGGAAGAGAUUGGGGAAAUAAGCGGUGAUGCAAAAGAUAUCUAGUGCUCAAAUUGGGAUAGUGAAAUCGUAUUAUAUCUCUUAACCCGAUGACUUCUUAAGGGCCCAGGAUUGGUGAUACUAUUCAUCAUCAUUGGGUAAGAAGUUGCCCUUACUUUCAUAAGCUUCGAACGAUGGUCUAGAUGCGGCCACGUUGUCGUGUAUUACACGUUAGGGCAUCCAAACCAUGUAUUAGGCGGCGACCCAUCCAGACCGUUAUCCGAAUGUGCGGCCGCAACACAAUAUUUGCUCCAUGAUUGGAGCUAGCUGAGAAAGCGGUAACGAGAUUGCGGGGUAAAAAAAUCUUUGAAACUCUCGUAUAUUUGCUCUUUCCACUACACGCUGAUCAACUAACCCUUAUCAUUUUCUUCCUUCCUCCAACCCCGCUUCAUGCAUUUCAAAUCCUCUAAAUCUUGUAAAUCAUCCUAGUGCGAUUUACUAAAUCCAAAUUGAAGGAAAAUGGAGGAGAAAUUGGAUUAAAGAUCAUCUAUGGUUUAAAGAUGUUCUUUUUUUUAAUUUCGCAGGAUUUUGCAUAAAUCUCAUUUAAAUCUUGGUCAAAUUCUGCUACCAUCAAUCCCUAGAAGCUGAGCUCUCAUCAAGGGAAAAGAUUGGGCAUGCGUAGGAAGGCGAAGGUUGUGUUAGGCUGAUCAAUAUGUGUUUGAGCUUUGAGUUUGGGAUGAGGAGUGUCUGCGGCUAGGAAUUUGGAGGACAUCAGAUGCAUCUAUUGUAAUGGUUGGUGCUUCCAUGGAGUUUGGCGGCGAAGGUUCUGAAACUGAUUACUCUCAUUAAUGUCAAUUUCGACGACCCCAACUUCCUCUUCUUGCUGGCUAGAAGGUUUUCAACAAUAGUUCUGACGAGACUGCAUAUUUCCGCAUAUUGCUGAGUAGAGAAAGCAUCACAAACUCUGUUAUGAUUCAACCCUCAUUGAUUUCAUACUCUUUUAAUGCUCAUUCUCCCCCUUUAUUGGAUGUAGCAUCCAUAGCUGCAGGCCGCAUUCUGGUGCUAGAUGCAUAUUUCAGUGUGGUCAUUUUACACGGCAGGAAAAUUGCCCAGUGGCGCAACAUAGGCUACCAAAAUCAGCCAGAGCAUCAGGCGUUUGCAUAGCUUUUGCAAGCCCCACAUGAUGACGUCCAAAUGCUAAUCAGAUAGAGAUUCCCAGUCCCAUGAUUGGUUGUUUGCGAUCAGCAUGGCUCCUAGGUAAUUACUCUAGCCAUAUGAUCAGGAAGAAAAUCCAUUUGAUUCAAUGACUUGCACACGGAGAAAUGCUGAGGAAGGUGCUGUUGGGGCGAAAAUAAAUGGAGAAUUAUGGGAGUCCAGAUCCAGCUUGUGUUGCGAAAGCUAAAUCCCUUUACAGUGAUCUCAAUCUCUAGGCAAAAUUUUCUGAGUACGAGCGAACAAGCUACGGGCAGCUAAACUCCUCCAUAGAAGCUCAGCCAAUCAAACAAGUUCAGGAGGUGGCUGGGAAAAGUAUUGCAUAUCUGUACUACCAAUGUGGAAUGAGAGAGAUCAAAAAAUUUAAGCGAAAAAAUUGAGGAUUUCAUCCAGAUACAAAAGACGUUGAAAGAAGUCUAUAAUGAAACAACUCAUUUACUAUGUGUGUAGACGCUAUAAAAGCACUGGGAUUACAUCACAGUUUGCUAACGAGUUAAUGUUUCAUUUUGAUGAACCAGAGAAAACUGAAAUAUCUAUUGCACGUUACUUCAGAACAAAAUACAAUUAUAAUCUUAUGUAUGAUUCACUGACUUGCGUUAAAGCCGACAGUGAUAGCAAUCCGAUAUACUUGCCAAUUGAGGUAUGGUCGAUGCACGCGUUCGAUAUCUGUAGGUAAUUGUCAUCGACUAUGUGAGCUUCCUUGCAUUUGAUUUUUUGUAAAUUUUAAUAGGUUUUUAUGUUUUUUUGUAGUUAAUGCUAUAUAUUAUGCGCACCGUGCAACAUUCCGAUCUUGAUAUUACUUGGAAUCAAGGUCUGAAUCUGUAUCAAUUCAAGGCAGUGGACCAACACAAGCGAACAACGAUCAUCUCUGUUAUUCCAGCUAUUAAGGAGAAUGUCAGAGGAGGAGCGUGACCACUUUCAGAUUCUGACAGAACUGGUUCAGCUGGAAGUACAAACGGAAGUCGACCCAUUUGGGGCAUUUCGUCCAUUUUUGGUGUUAGUGAGAAAUGUGCAUCAACAAAAUAAAUCUCGUCCAAUAAGUCUGUUAUUGUUCCUUCUCACAAUGUGGAAAGUUCACUCUUUAUGAUCCAUCUAAGAGAGCCUCCAGUCAUCUUGAAGCCUUCAGAAAAUCAAUUGGAGCAGGUGGCUUUGGAGGUUUCCAUUACAAAAUUAUUACUGAAAUCGUACUACGAUAUUGUCAGGAAAAACAUUGAAGAUAUUUUGCCUAAGGCAAUUAUGCACUUCCUGGCUGGUCAUGGUGUGAAGCUUUUGAGCAUUCUUACAAAAUAUUGUGAAGGAGAGCCAUAUGAGGCGCGAACAAGCACGCGCCCUACAAAAGCUAUAUUGAAGUAAAUAUCUGUUAUCUCCGCAAGAAAGAAUGCUUCCAUGAAGCUUUCUGAGAAAUCUGAUAUCUCCGCAGAAGCGAACCGGAAGGAAUCUUUGCAGUUUGUUUGAAAAGAUGUAGAAGGAUCCAUGGCAAUUCAUGCGACCAAAGCUUAUGAUAACUUAUCCAAUGUUUUCUUAUUCAAGGGCUGUUUCUAGCAGUAUUGAAGUCUCUGCUCAGAAUGUUUAAAUCCCUGAAGCCAUGACUGCCAGGACACAUAUGCUGGAGAAUCCAAUCAAAUGCUGAAAUUGCUGUUCUCAUCUCCCGGCUCUCCUUCAUUGGGAGGAAUGGCAUCCAUGUUAGCAUCAUGCCCUUGGUAACUUAAAGACGAACUUUUCACCUGGUUCUGAGCAGAUUUGAAGUUCUAAUGACUCAGGCAACUGUUAAACUCAUUUUUAGAUGUAAUACACAUUUGUAAAUUAAAUUUUGUUUUCUAUGUCAUUAAU